rnacentral:rRNA from 1 species
CGAACGCGAAAGAACCUUUCGGGUUUCAAGUAGAGUGGCGUCCGGGUGAGUAACACGUAGGUAAUCUACCUUCGGGUGGGGAAUAACGCAGGGAAACUUGCGCUAAUACCGCAUAAUGCAGCGGCACCACAUGGUGACAGUUGUUAAAGCGGGGGAUUUUCGAACCUCGCGCCUGAAGAGGAGCCUGCGGCGGAUUAGCUAGUUGGUAGGGUAACGGCUUACCAAGGCGACGAUCCGUAACCGGCCUGAGAGGGCGGUCGGUCACACUGACACUGACAUACGGGUCAGACUCCUACGGGAGGCAGCAGUCGGGAAUUUUGGGCAAUGGGCGAAAGCCUGACCCAGCAACGCCGCGUGAAGGAUGAAAUCCCUCGGGAUGUAAACUUCGCAAGAAUAGGAAGAAUUAGUGGGGGCUAAUACUCCCCAUGAUGACGGUACUAUUUGUAAGCUCCGGCUAACUCCGUGCCAGCAGCCGCGGUAAUACGGGGGGAGCAAGCGUUGUUCGGAUUUACUGGGCGUAAAGGGCGCGUAGGCGGCCAGCGCAAGUCAGUUGUGAAAUCUCCGGGCUUAACUCGGAAAGGUCAACUGAUACUGCGCGGCUAGAGUGCAGAAGGGGCAACUGGAAUUCUCGGUGUAGCGGUGAAAUGCGUAGAUAUCGAGAGGAACACCUGCGGCGAAGGCGGGUUGCUGGGCUGACACUGACGCUGAUG